ensembl:lncRNA
AGAUUCAGUGAUAUGACGAGACAUACUGUCACACUCUGACCAUAGUUAUAGUGGGCAUUCUAUGUUGUAUGUCUAGUUUGUUUGUUUCUAUGUUUUGGUUGGUCGGGGUGUGAUAUGAGUGGGCAUUCUAUGUUGUAUGUCUAGUUUGUCUGUUUGGAUGUGUUUGGCCUGAUAUUGUUCUCAAUCAGAGGCAGGUGUUAGUUGUUGUCUCUGAUUGAGAACCAUAUUUAGGUGGCCUGUUUUGUAUUGUGGGGUGUGGGUGAUUGUUCCUGUUUCCAGUGUUGGUGUUCACGGGACGUUUACGUUCAUUUUGUCGGUUUAUUGUUUUUUUGUUCGUUGUUCAAGUAUUCUAUUAAAAUUGAUAAUCAUCACGCUGCAUUUUGGUCCUCCUCUCCUUUUCCCGACGAAGAAUGUUACACAUACUCUAUCUUGGAGGGAGUUAAAAACAUUUUGCGCCGUUUUUUUCCAGACACAGAUUUUGCCUUGUCCUAAAACUAGAAUAAAACCUCUCAAUGGAGAAUCUCUAAUAAAAAAAAUGUUGUUUUUUUUUAAUUCCAAAACUAGGCUUAAUCUGUGUCUGAGAAACAAAAUAAAAGUUUUUUUUUAAAAUCCGGCAUAGCCCAGAUACAGGAACCUGCGAGGCGCUAUGAGGAAGUCGUAUGAGGUGGCGAUGGAGGAGGUGGCUAAGGUCAGGGAGAUGGGCUGUGAGGAGAGACUGCAGAUCAGCCACUUCCAGCCACAGGAUUCGGGACCAGAGGAUUCGGAUGUGGGAUGCCGGCAUCGAGGAGGACGGAGACACUCUGAUCAUAGAAGGGUUCAGGUUUGACAGCGCCACCUGUCUGGAGGACCUGAUGACUGCAGGAAACAAGAAAUAAAGAUUUUUUAUUUUUUAACAAGAUAUUUCCAGAUAGUUUUUUUUCUUCAAGAGAUGUUAAUCCUUUCCCCUUAAAAGUGCUUUAUAUUGUAUGAUAUUUAAUUGAAAUGUUAUAUUUUUCAAAAAUAUUUGUUUACUGUGGUCAUUGUUGAAGACAAUAUACAUUGUGGUGACUGGUAGUAUGAAGAAGUUGUUGUUGUUAUGUUGUUGUUGUUAUGUUAUGUUGUUGUUAUGUGGUUGUUGUUAUGUGGUUGUUGUUAUGUGGUUGUUGUUAUGUGGUUGUUGUUAUGUGGUUAUUCCAGUGCUAUACGGCUGCAUGUUGUAUUCCUCAUGGUGUUUAAAGUUCAGAGAAUGUAGGAAAUAAACCUUGGUAUCAGACAAGAGAACCACGGUAGUGCAGCGACAAUCACUGCUUAAUUACCUCAGGAUAAUGGACUGUAUAUAGCAGGAUAAUGUACUGUAUAUAGCAGGAUAACAACAAUCACUGCUUAAUUGCCUCAGGAUAAUGGACUGUAUAUAGCAGGAUAAUGGACUGUAUAUAGCAGGAUAAUGGACUGUAUAUAGCAGUAUGGUGUAGAAUAAUGUACUGUGUAUAGAAGGAUAAUGGACUGUAUAUAGCAGGAUAAUGGACUGUAUAUAGCAGGAUAAUGGACUGUAUAUAGCAGGAUAAUGGACUGUAUAUAUCAGUAUGGUGCAGGAUAAUGUGCUGUAUAUAGCAGUAUGGAGCAGGAUAAUGUACUGUAUAUAUCAGUAUGGAGCAGGACAAUGUACUGUAUAUAGCAGUAUGGUGCAGGACAAUGUACUGUAUAUAUCAGUAUGGAGCAGGAUAAUGUACUGUAUAUAGCAGUAUGGUGCAGGACAAUGUACUGUAUGGAGCAGGAUAAUGUACUGUAUAUAUCAGUAUGGUGCAGGAUAAUGUACUGUAUAUAUCAGGAUAAUGGACUGUAUAUAUCAGGAUAAUGGACUGUAAAUAUCAGUAUGGUGCAGGAUAAUGGACUGUAUAUAGCAGGAUAAUGGACUGCAUAUAGCAGGAUAAUGGACUGUAUAUAGCAGGAUAAUGUACUGUAUAUAGCAGGAUAAUGUACUGUAUAUAGCAGCAUGGAGCAGGAUAAUGUACUGUAUAUAGCAGCAUGGUGCAGGACAAUGUACUGUAUAUAGCAGGAUAAUGGACUGUAUAUAUCAGUAUGGUGCAGCAUAAUGUACUGUAUAUAGCAGUAUGGAGCAGGAUAAUGUACUGUAUAUAGCAGGAUAAUGGACUGUAUAUAGCAGCAUGGAGCAGGAUAAUGUACUGUAUAUAGCAGCAUGGUGCAGGACAAUGUACUGUAUAUAGCAGGAUAAUGGACUGUAUAUAUCAGUAUGGUGCAGGAUAAUGUACUGUAUAUAGCAGUAUGGAGCAGGAUAAUGUACUGUAUAUAGCAGGAUAAUGGACUGUAUAUAUCAGUAUGGUGCAGGAUAAUGUACUGUAUAUAUCAGUAUGGUGCAGGACAAUGUACUGUAUAUAGCAGUAUGGAGCAGGAUAAUGUACUGUAUAUAGCAGGAUAAUGUACUGUAUGUUCAGGAUAAUGUACUGUAUAUCAGUAUGGUGCAGGAUAAUGUACUGUGUGUAGUGCAGGAUAAUGUACUGUGUAUAGUGCAGGAUAAUGUACUGUAUAUAGCAGUAUAGUGCAGGAUAAUGUACUGCAUAUAGCAGGAUAAUGUACUGUAUAUAGCAGGAUAAUGUACUGUAUAUAUAUCAGGAUAGUGCAGGAUUAUUUACUGUAUAUAGCAGUAUGGAGCAGGAUAAUGUACUGUAUAUAGCAGUAUGGAGCAGGAUAAUGUACUGUAUAUUGCAGUAUGGAGCAGGAUAAUGUACUGUAUAUAGCAGCAUGGAGCAGGAUAAUGCAUUGUAUAUAGCAGGAUAAUGCACUGUAUAUAUCAAUAUAGUGCAGGAUAAUAUACUGUGUAUAGCAGGAUAAUGUACUGUAUAUAGCAGUAUGGAGUAGGAUAAUGUACUGUAUAUAGCAGUAUGGAGUAGGAUAACGUACUGUAUAUAGCAGUAUGGUGUAGGAUAAGGUACUGUAUAUAGCAGGAUAAUGUACUACAUAUAGCAGUAUUUCGCAGGAUAAUGUACUGUAUAUAGCAGUAUGGAGUAGGAUAAUGUACUGUAUAUAGCAGUAUGGAGUAGGAUAAUGUACUGUAUAUAGCAGUAUGGUGUAGAAUAAUGUACUGUAUAUAGCAGUAUGGUGCAGGAUAAUGUACUGUAUAUAGCAGG